UGGGCAAUGCUGAGCAAAAUUCCACAAAGGA
rnacentral:piRNA from 1 species